rnacentral:lncRNA from 1 species
AAUAAUAAAUGAAAAAAAAAAAAGAAUUAAGAUUUAAUUGUAAUAAAAUUUUAAUUUAAGUAAUUGGGCCAUUUUUAAAACCAAAACAAACUCAAACCAUAAUUUUACUACGCAAACUCAAGUAACUCAAGCUCAUACCCUAACUCAAUCACUACCCUAUAUAAUACUAUCACCACAAACACACAAAACAUACACUCUAAUACACAUCAGCGCCGUAACCGCCCAAAAGACUGGACUCCCAUUUUCUCCAAGACAAAUAGCAUCAGAAGACUCCCCCUCCCAUUGGUUCCAACGCUCCCCUCUAUCCAUUUUUCCAAAUACAGACCCUUUCCACCCAAAACCCAGUCAAAACAAAAACCAUCAACAUCAACCCAAAAUAUUCACAAAAUAGAAAAUCAAUUCAUAUAACCUCAGCUUUGUAUGAAAUGUAUUUUUAGACUGGUAUUUUAAUUUUUUGGCGAGGUUGUCGUUGAGGUUUUGGCAGUUACCUUGAGUUUUGCCGUGUUCACAGUCAUUUAGAAGCUUUUGCAGACAUUGUAAAAGUUCUGGAGAACAUUUCUCAAAAACAAAGGUUCUUUUCUUGCUUUAAUAAUUAUGUCUUUUACUAAUAAUUUUAUUUUGUUUGAAUUAUUGCCGAGUAUUUGUUGGAAAUAAAUGUUGCCAAUUAAUAUUUGAUUUCUGUAUGGAAUUUCAAGUGAUUAAGAAGCCAUUUGCUUGCUUAAGGAUUGACGUCUCUGGUUGGCCUUUAAUUGGAUAGUUAAAUGUUGCUAAUUAAACAUUGAAUUUGAUUUAUACCCACCUCGCGACUUUCAUCUACUGCGCCCAUAGAAUUUCUAAGUUUCUGAUUUUGCCUUCACUGAUAUAUUCGUGUUGGGUUGACAGUGCAUUCCAAUCUUUCUCUAUAAGUUGACUUCUUAUUUGGGUAAAAUUAUUUUGUUCUCAACUUUGCUUACAGUGCAUCUUAAUAAUAGUUUUAUUUUGUUCUCAACUUUGUCUUCAAUGAUAUGGAUUUAUGUUAAGUGAUGUGCUAACUCAAAAUUAAAUUAAGGUUUAAAUUUCCUAUGUGUUAAAAUAAUCAAUUUUUAACUUAUAUGAUGUAUGAGUUUAUUUUAUAUUUCGAGUCUUACCUAGUGGGGGCGUUAGAUGAAUCUUAUUGCCUAGUACAUGGGUUUUGAAGAAUUGAAUAAAGUUGACCCAUUUUCUUGUAUCUUAAUCCUUCUAGCUUAAUCUUACGCUCUAUCCACAAUAAUUUCCAUAAGCACAUGUUCAUUUAAUUAAUUCUAACUCUUUAGAAAUCGUGGUGUACCAUUAGUUAAAUUUUUCAUGGCCCUCGCAAACUUGGAAAUGCGUAAUUGCUUUUGGCGUGUAAUUCAAAUUAAUUUUCUUAAACUCGGGAGCGCAUUUAUGUGACCCAAAUCAAAAUCUCAAUGGUGUUAAAGUAUGUCAAAAAUCACGGGUGCAUUUAUAUGACGUGAUUCGAGACACAUUUUUAAUACUGUUUCAAUCUUCCUCAAAAAUCAAAUAAAAGCAGUGAAUAUUUAAAAUUGCACUAUAGGAUGAACAUGUGUAAAAAUCACAAUUUUCAGCCAUUUACAAUAGUUUAAGCGACCGCGCUAGAACCACGGGAUCUGAGGGUGUCUAACACCUUUCCUCGGGUCAGCAGAAUUCCUUACCUAGAAUUUCUGGUUCGCAGACUCCACUUGGAUAGUCAAAAAAUAUUUCCUCGAUUUGGGAUUCAAAACAAACCGGUGACUUGGGACACCAAAAGACAAGCCUAUCAUAAGUGGCGACUCUAAUAAUUAAAUAAUCUCAUUUCGAAUAAUAUCACUUUAAUGGAAAAAAUUCCUUUAUGUGUUCUUAUCCUUCGAGGUAGUCGUGUAAAAAAAGGGGGUGUGGCACUCCAAGAAAAUUGUCUACAAAAACAACGCCAAAGAAAGUGAUUACACCCUUUACUCUGUUAAUGGAAAAGGCCAAGCUGAGAAAUUUUCUUCAUUUCUUCAGCUUCAAACAACGUCAAAUCAGAGCCAAAGCCUGCAUUUGAUGACACAUGAAUCAUGUUGCAGUAAAGCAGUAGACUUGCAAAGUGCAUAAAAGAAAGCAUUUUCACGAGUCCAAAACCUAAAUUUUGUACUAUUGGACUCAAAAUAUGUUUUUACUGUCUAAAAAAAUUAUUUUUCUAGAUAUAAUAUGAUAUUACACCCCGUUAUUUAUUAAUAUUAUUUCCACCGUUAAACUAUAGUGCGAUGUAAAUAUAUAGCACGGUGUACCACGUUAUACAUUCUAAUUAAAAACCCCUUCUUCUUCCUCUAACGACAGAAACACGCCCCUUCCCCAAUUUUUUUAAAAAUAGAACCAGCGAUCCCCCCUNNNNNNNNNNNNNNNNNNNNNNNNNNNNNNNNNNNNNNNNNNNNNNNNNNNNNNNNNNNNNNNNNNNNNNNNNNNNNNNNNNNNNNNNNNNNNNNNNNNNNNNNNNNNNNNNNNNNNNNNNNNNNNNNNNNNNNNNNNNNNNNNNNNNNNNNNNNNNNNNNNNNNNNNNNNNNNNNNNNNNNNNNNNNNNNNNNNNNNNNNNNNNNNNNNNNNNNNNNNNNNNNNNNNNNNNNNNNNNNNNNNNNNNNNNNNNNNNNNNNNNNNNNNNNNNNNNNNNNNNNNNNNNNNNNNNNNNNNNNNNNNNNNNNNNNNNNNNNNNNNNNNNNNNNNNNNNNNNNNNNNNNNNNNNNNNNCCUUUUUCUCCCAAACAAAAACGAGUGAACCCAUCCGUCACACAAAUAGAUAAGAUUUUGUGAUUUCUUCGUUUCUGGCUCAAAAUUUAAAUUUAUCAACUUUUCUAGAAACAUAAAUCAAGAUAUUUUUAUUUAGUUUAUGUCAAAACUAGUGUAAUAAUGUAUAUUUGUUGUCUUGAAUGUAUUUUCAUGUUGCUUUGUGUUCUGUUUGCGAUUAAACUAGUAUGUUAUUUUUAUCCGGAUUAAGAUAUAAGUGUUUUAAAAAAAUAUUUAAAAGUUUAAAAUUAUUUUUUGUUAAUAAAAAUGUCCAUAAAUUUUGUUUACUAUUUUAUAUGUAUUUCGUGAAUGUUUAUUAAAAUAUAUUUGUUAUUUUUAUUUAGUUUAGAUUAUUUAUUUGGUUAAAGACUAGUGACCUUUUAGCGUAGUGAAGUGUAGAGCCUUUUUAGCAUAGUAAAAUGUAGAGUAUUUUAGCAUAAAAUAAAUAUAGUUUAAAUAUCUAUUAUAUUGGUAGAUCAAACACAAACUCUGUCCAAUUAUAAUUUAUUAAAUUAAUUAUUUAAUUUAUAAAAAAAACACAAAAUUAUGAACAAUAUUAAAAUUGACACACACAAGAAUUCAGGAUAACUUGAUGUUACUGGGUCUCAAAUAUCAAGGUUGGAACUCAUAGGUAUAUACUCUAUCCAAGGAUAAUUUAUAAAAAUUAAUUAUUUAAUUUAUAAAACAAAAUAAAACUAUGAAAAUAUUAAAACUGACACAUAUAAGAAUUCAUGAUAGUGUGAUGCUACUGGACCUCAAAUAUCGAGCUUGGAACCUACAGGUAUAUACUCUAUCCAAUUAAUAAAAUAAAUUAUUUAAUUUAUAAAAUAAACACACAAAAUAUAAAAAUAAUAAAAUUGGAACAUAUAAGAAUUCAGGAUAGCUUGGUGCUACUAGGCCUCAAAUAUCGAGUUUGGAACCCAUAGAUAUAUACCAACAAGACAACACACAAAAUGUAGUAUUCAACCGCGCUAUAUAUAUUAACUUUUUUCUGAAACGAAACAGCUUUUUCGCAGUCGGUCAGCUUUUCAGACCGAAAAAAUAACACACAAAACGUAGUAUUCAACUGCGCUAUAUAUAUUCACACAAAACAUAGUAUUUAACUACAAAAGGAGACGGAUAUCCUGUUUGUACUAAUCAAUUUUUUACUUGGUACUAGGAUGUGUUUGUCUUAAUUUAUCCUUUUAUUACUCUUUAUUUUUAUGUAUGUUGAUUUAGUUAUGAUUGUCGUGCUUUUUUCUCUUGAAGUAUUAUGUUAUAAAAUUUCAGUCUUCAUACUGAUCUUCUUUACUAACACCAAUAAGUUGAAUGUUGGAACUAUCAUAUCAUCAUCCCAAUUCAAAAGGCCAUGUUCAAAUAUCUUCAAAUCAUACUUAACAAACAAAAUUUUACUUGAUACAUCUUGCAACAUAAACAAAACAGCUACUUAUUAUACAAGAUUAUAUUGUUUGAUAGAUGUCUGUGGAAUAUAAUUUUAUUUGAUACAUUUUGCAACAUAAACAUGCAUAGACACUUAUUACAAUAAAUAUUACGAAAACAAAACACUGAGUGUAUCCUUGAGACUUGGGUAUGUGAGCAUGUGAUUUUUACCCCGUUGAGACGACUCAUACAGGAUUCUCAAGUUUAGGAUUUUUCCUCUUUAAUAUUUAUUUUCAGGAUUUAAUUGCGCAUAUCAGUGUGUUUUCAUUAAUGCAUGCAUAAAAACCAUAUACAAAAUAUACAAAAUUGCACAAGCAUUUAGGAUUUAAUUUCACAUGGUUUUGCAAAUUAAUUGGUAAUUAAGAUUUAUUUUGCAAAAUAUAAAAUUGCAAAAAAAAUCAAGUACUUAUUCUGGCAUUUUAAUUGUUUAGCAUUUUAUGGUUAAUUUCCAUUCUUGCAUUUUUAGGUAGUUAUUAGUUUGAUUUUUCUUAAUUAGGAUUUUUAAAAAAUAAUUAGGAAAUAAAAUAAACAAGAAAACAAAACAAAGUGAGAUUUUUAAUAAAUUACCCAGGCUUGCUACAAUUGGGCCAAACUUGGGUUGCCCAAAGCCUUUUACCCGUCCAAAUGCCCCAUACCCUGCCCAUUAACUUGUCCCUGACCCAGUCCAUACAAGAGAUGCCCCAAAAUAACAUCGUUUUGGGGCAAUUCAUUUCAGCCAUUGAUCAUAAACAAUCCAACGGCCCUGAAGCCCUUCCCUAAAUCACAUAAAUAUGUCCAAACACCAUUGCAUAUUCAGAGACCAAACCACUUCCUUCCUUCGUAUCUAUAAUGUCGGUGUAUCACCCACCCCAUCGCCACCUCUCCACCGCCGUCUACCACAAUUCAACCACCUUAACGUCACCGUCGUAAAACGCCUCACAGCGGCGGCAGGUCACCAAACAGCCUCAGAAUUACACCACUAGACCAUCUCAAACCCCUCUUUCCCUUCCCACCAUUGCUUUCCUUCAAGCACCUCCCCAACUCGUCAAAUAUUCGACGGAAGAAUCACCAGUUCCACCGUCUCCGGUGACACUAACCCUAAAUCAACCCAAAAUAACACCCCUGAACCACCUCCCCCCCCCCCCUCCCAACCAUCUAAAACCCGUCGUUCGAAUCCUAACAGAUCGUCUCAAAUAUCAAAUGAAAGCCUAAGCUCAAACCCUAAACUCAACGGAAUCCCUUGAAAUUGGUCCUUGCAGACCGUCUCACCGUCCCAUCCACGACCUUUCAACCCACGACCCUCGAAUGCAACUAGACCCAACCAAAAUCGAGUCUGAAACCCCCUGUCUCAAAACCAUUUGACCCUCCCUUGAAACCCUUUUCCCCCUCUCCAAUAUGCAAGGCAAAGGCCUUAGAAGGCCAAAAGACCUCUCACAAGAGGUCAAAAAUCUGGAGAUUAGAAGAAAACCUAUUCUAGGGUUGCAACGCUAAAAAACAAAAGCUAAAACCUAUUUUAGGGUUGCAACGCUAAAAAACAAAAGCUAAGUCCCUGUGUGCUUGAUUUUUGUGUGUGUGCCUUCUUGUUCUAAUUGACUUUAUUUUUCUUUGAUUUUCUUUUGUUUGAGUUCAUCUGUUCAUCCUUGAAAUCAUAUGUCUUGUCUUGCUUUUUGAUUUUCUUUCUUGUUACUCGUUCUCUAUCUCUUCAUCUUCAAGACAUUCUAGAUAGUUGUUUCCAUCUAGAGUUACAUGUUCCUGAUUUUUCAUUUGUUCGUCUGUGAAAAUUCUGAAUAGUUAUUUUAUGCUCAUCCUUGUUAUCUUCUGUUGAUCUUCUAUUCUUAUUUUUCUUUAAGUAUAUUAUAGUUGAAAUUCUGAGUAGGCGUCUCCAUCUAAAAUCAUAUACUCGUCCUAGUUCUCUUGUCUAAUUACUCUUGAUUUUCUUUAUUUACAUUUAUUAGAUAUUCUAUGUCUCCUUAUUCUGAGUGUUUAAUUCCCGUUAUUCAUCUUUUAACUACCUUAAAUGUAUUCUUCCUUAUAAUGGCUUUUAGUUUUCUGCUGAGUGUUUUAAUUUGGUCAUCCUUAUGAUUCAUGUAUAGUUCUUUAGAUCCUCUUCUAAUCGUUUUGGCUCUUUUUCCCAUUUGCUUCUAAGUUUCAUUGAUAAAUACAUGCAUGUCCAAUUACUCAUCUGUUAGGUUUUUUGGUUAGUGAUUCCUUUCCCACCAUAUGUCUUGGUUUAAGAUUGAAUGUCAUGCUUCUAAAUACUUCAUGAGUGUCCCUAAAUAAGCAUGCUCUGAUUUUUCAUUUUUUUUGUCCCAAAAUCGAUUGGUAUCCAUGUGAUUCUGAUGGUUGUGAUAAUUGGUUCCAUCUUUGUUGCUGAGUAAUGUAAAGCCCACAUUAAGAUAUUUGCUAUAAUCCAUGAGUUGCAUUGAUUAAAUUUAACUCUUUGAUUGUUCGUUUCUGCAUAAUUUGCUCUGCAAUUCAGACUUUGAUUUUGGUCUAUAACCUGAAGUAACUAACUAGGGUAAAUUUUGACCAUAUAGAUGAGAACCAAGGUUUAAAACCCUUAGGCCGUUAAUUAGGAAAAGGGACAGGGAUAUUAAGGGCAUUUGAAUAUAGGGAAUCUUGUAACAAACUCCUAGAACAUUCUAGUAAAGGUCCAAAGCGCAAUUUCUGCCUCAAAACUUGAGGCGCAAGUCAGAAAAUCAAGGACUAUUUAGGCAAAACUGAAAAAUGGAUAAAGGACUAAAAGUAAAACAAAGAGAUUUAUGUUGCCCUAAGGCUUCAGUUAUAAAAGGGGACAAUCUAGUCAUUUCAAAGGGGAUUUUUUGAGCAGAUUUUUAGAGAGGAUUAAGGGAUCUUCUAGAGGCUUUUGUUUUUUAGAUUUAGAAUACAACUUAUAGAUAUAGAUACACAUUACACAUUCAUACACUAUUCAGAAAAUCUUUUUUCUUCUGAUCAAACUUUCUUUAAUAAUCAAUACAAGUUAAAGAUGGACUGAAUGUGCAUUUUCACUAGUUUCUUCUCAAAUUUCCUGAGUUCCUGGGUUUUUAAUUGUUGUGUGGCCGAUGUGUUUGCUUGCUACUCUCUUAACCUUACUCAUAGGUUCUUCUUUUUUCUACUGAAAUUCCAGGUAUCAAUCUUCACUCCAAAUCUGAGAAGUAAUAGCUAUGUACACUCGAGAUUAUAAGAUGAUAAUGAAGACAAUAAUAUUUUUAUGUAUCAAUUUCAUAUUGUGAGUGUUAUUUACUUUUCAGUAGCAUUUCUGGUGUUGUAAUAAAUAUGAAUGUAUAAUAAUAUUGGACUGUAUCAGGACUAUAGCCUUAAUCUGCCUAACUUUCAGUAGAUUUAUGAAUAGUUUAGUCCAAAAUUUACUUAGUGUUCGCAAUUUGUCUUGUAGUAUAGGCUCGAUAGGUGUAUAUAUGUAUACUCUGAAUGAUGAGUAUUUUGAUUCCUUUCCUUAGACGCUCGAUCAAAAUCUGAGUUAUAGCUUCUUAAUACAAAUUCUUU